rnacentral:rRNA from 1 species
UAGGGAAUAUUGCGCAAUGGGGGAAACCCUGACGCAGCAACGCCGCGUGAGUGAGGAAGGUCUUCGGAUUGUAAAACUCUUUUAUUAGGGAAAAAUGUCUAGGUGGCUAAUAUCCACUUAGAGUGAUGGUACCUAAGGAAUAAGCACCGGCUAACUUCGUGCCAGCAGCCGCGGUAAUACGAAGGGUGCAAGCGUUGUUCGGAAUCAUUGGGCGUAAAGCGCGCGCAGGCGGGUCAGUAAGUCAGGUGUGAAAUCUCGGAGCUCAACUCCGAAACUGCGCCUGAAACUAUUGGUCUAGAGUAUCGGAGGGGACAGGGGAAUUUCACGUGUAGGGGUAAAAUCCGUAGAGAUGUGAAGGAACACCGGAGGCGAAGGCGCCUGUCUGGACGAUUACUGACGC